UGCCCCUUCUUGGUCAUUUAGAGGAAGUAAAAGUCGUAACAAGGUUUCCUAGGUGAACCUGCGGAAGGAUCAUUAAAGAACGCCCCGUUUUUUGAAAUGGUAACUUCUAAACCGUGUUUACAUACCUUUGUUGCUUUGGCAGGCCGCUCUCGAGGCGUCGGCUCCGGCUGACUGCGCCUGCCAGAGGACCCCAACUUUUUGUUUAGUAAUGUCUGAGUACUAUAUAAUAGUUAAAACUUUCAACACGGAUCUCUUGGUUCUGGCAUCGAUGAAGAACGCAGCGAAAUGCGAUAAUAAUGUGAAUUGCAGAAUUCAGUGAAUCAUCGAAUCUUUGAACGCACAUGCGCCCCUUGGUAUUCCGAGGGGCAUGCCUGUUCGAGCGUCAUUAUAACACUCAAGCCUCGGCUUGGUAUUGGGGUUCGCGGUCUCGCGGCUCUUAAAUCAGUGGCGGUGCCGUCUGGCUCUAAGCGUAGUAAUUUCUCUCGCUAUAGGUCCAGGUGGUUACUUGCCAAAACCCCCCAUAUUUUUUAAGGUUGACCCGGAUCAGGUAGGGAUACCCGCUGAACUUAAGCAUAUCAAUAAGCGGAGA
rnacentral:rRNA from 1 species